UACGGGGGGGGCAAGCGUUGUUCGGAAUUACUGGGCGUAAAGGGCUCGUAGGCGGCCAAGUAAGUCGGAUGUGAAAUCCCCAGGCUUAACCUGGGAACUGCAUCCGAUACUGGAUGGCUUGAAUCCGGGAGAGGGAUGCAGAAUUCCAGGUGUAGCGGUGAAAUGCGUAGAUAUCUGGAGGAAUACCGGUGGCGAAGGCGGCAUCCUGGACCGGCAUUGACGCUGAGUGAGCGAAAGCCAGGGGAGCAAACGGG
rnacentral:rRNA from 1 species